rnacentral:rRNA from 1 species
CGGAGGGGCGUAGCGUUGUUCGGAAUUACUGGGCGUAAAGCGCGCGUAGGCGGCUUUGUAAGUUAGAGGUGAAAGCCCGGAGCUCAACUCCGGAACUGCCUUUAAAGACUGCAUCGCUAGAAUCAUGGAGAGGUUAGUGGAAUUCCGAGUGUAGAGGUGAAAUUCGUAGAUAUUCGGAAGAACACCAGUGGCGAAGGCGACUAACUGGACAUGUAUUGACGCUGAGGUGCGAAAGCGUGGGGAGCAAACAGGAUU